CUUGAAUGCUGGCGGCAUGCCUUACACAUGCAAGUCGAACGGCAGCAUGAUCUAGCUUGCUAGAUUGAUGGCGAGUGGCGAACGGGUGAGUAAUACAUCGGAACGUGCCCUGUAGUGGGGGAUAACUAGUCGAAAGAUUAGCUAAUACCGCAUACGACCUGAGGGUGAAAGUGGGGGACCGCAAGGCCUCAUGCUAUAGGAGCGGCCGAUGUCUGAUUAGCUAGUUGGUGAGGUAAAGGCUCACCAAGGCGACGAUCAGUAGCUGGUCUGAGAGGACGAUCAGCCACACUGGGACUGAGACACGGCCCAGACUCCUGCGGGAGGCAGCAGUGGGGAAUUUUGGACAAUGGGGGCAACCCUGAUCCAGCAAUGCCGCGUGUGUGAAGAAGGCCUUCGGGUUGUAAAGCACUUUUGUCCGGAAAGAAAUCGCACUUACUAAUAUUAGGUGUGGAUGACGGUACCGGAAGAAUAAGGACCGGCUAACUACGUGCCAGCCGCCGCAGUAAGAC
rnacentral:rRNA from 1 species